rnacentral:rRNA from 1 species
ACGAUGCGUAGCCGACCUGAGAGGGUGAUCGGCCACACUGGAACUGAGACACGGUCCAGACUCCUACGGGAGGCAGCAGUAGGGAAUCUUCCGCAAUGGGCGAAAGCCUGACGGAGCAACGCCGCGUGAGUGAUGAAGGUCUUCGGAUCGUAAAACUCUGUUAUUAGGGAAGAACAAAUGUGUAAGUAACUAUGCACGUCUUGACGGUACCUAAUCAGAAAGCCACGGCUAACUACGUGC